rnacentral:misc_RNA from 1 species
ACGGUGUCGUAUACAUGCAGGAUUUGGAGCGGAUCAGCGAACUCAGAAGUGUACCAGUGGUAGUGUGUGAGGAAAAUGGAGGGCUUGGAUUCAGCGUCGACGCGGAAGAUGAAGGUUUUGACCGUCUGAUCGGAGGAAAGUGCUAGAAGGGGAAAAUUGGUGAAGAAAGAAAAGAAAAAGUAGAGCAGAAUAAAGGAAGUGGGGAGAAAUGUAGCCAUGAGAGAGCUGAGAGCAAGCAGAGUGGAGUGAAUGCAGUAAGCUGUAUGGG